AGUGAACGCUGGCGGUAGGCCUAACACAUGCGAGUCGAACGGCAGCACAGUAAGAGCUUGCUCUUACGGGUGGCGAGUGGCGGACGGGUGAGGAAUACAUCGGCAUCUACUUUUUCGUGGGGGAUAACGUAGGGAAACUUACGCUAAUACCGCAUACGACCUACGGGUGAAAGCAGGGGAUCUUCGGACCUUGCGCGAUUGAAUGAGCCGAUGUCGGAUUAGCUAGUUGGCGGGGUAAAGGCCCACCAAGGCGACGAUCCGUAGCUGGUCUGAGAGGAUGAUCAGCCACACUGGAACUGAGACACGGUCCAGACUCCUACGGGAGGCAGCAGUGGGGAAUAUUGGACAAUGGGCGCAAGCCUGAUCCAGCCAUACCGCGUGGGUGAAGAAGGCCUUCGGGUUGUAAAGCCCUUUUGUUGGGAAAGAAAAGCAGCAGGUUAAUACCCCGCUGUUCUGACGGUACCCAAAGAAUAAGCACCGGCUAACUUCGUG
rnacentral:rRNA from 1 species